UGUAAUAUGGUUGCAUUUAUUGGGGUUUGCUUUUAUUUGUUUUUCUUGUAGCCACUUUUCUAUUUUUGUGAUAUGUUCUUGUAGUAAUUUGACUGCCGUUUCUGGGUUCGUAUGCCUGACUAGUAUAAUUGUGUCGUCCGCGAAUGUCAGUACUGUACUAUUGGUAGUUGUUGGUAUGUUCGCCGUGUAUAAUGUGUAUAGUAUUGGGCCUAGGACGCUUCCUUGUGGUACCCCUGCCUUGAUGUCUUUAACUUCAGAAUGUGUGUCCUUGAUUUUUGUUACGAAGGUUCUGGUGCUUAGAUAACACAUGGGCAAGAAGCGACGAAGAACAAGCUGAAGAAUUCUCCAAUCAUCUUUCACACCACACAUUAUCAACAACAGCGACCUCAAAAGUCAUACGGAGGAGGAUGCACAAACCACUAUUAUCACAACUGACAAGGAAUACAUCAUAUCUAAAACAAC
rnacentral:misc_RNA from 1 species